rnacentral:rRNA from 1 species
UUCUCCUGGAAAACGGGUGGUAAUACCGGAUGCUCCGCUCCAUCGCAUGGUGGGGUGGGAAAUGCUUUUGCGGCAUGGGAUGGGGUCGCGUCCUAUCAGCUUGUUGGCGGGGUGAUGGCCCACCAAGGCGUUGACGGGUAGCCGGCCUGAGAGGGUGACCGGCCACAUUGGGACUGAGAUACGGCCCAGACUCCUACGGGAGGCAGCAGUGGGGAAUAUUGCACAAUGGGCGCAAGCCUGAUGCAGCGACGCCGCGUGCGGGAUGGAGGCCUUCGGGUUGUAAACCGCUUUUGUUCAAGGGCAAGGCACGGUUUCGGCCGUGUUGAGUGGAUUGUUCGAAUAAGCACCGGCUAACUACGUGCCAGCAGCCGCGGUAAUACGUAGGGUGCGAGCGUUAUCCGGAUUUAUUGGGCGUAAAGGGCUCGUAGGCGGUUCGUCGCGUCCGGUGUGAAAGUCCAUCGCCUAACGGUGGAUCUGCGCCGGGUACGGGCGGGCUGGAGUGCGGUAGGGGAGACUGGAAUUCCCGGUGUAACGGUGGAAUGUGUAGAUAUCGGGAAAGAACACCA